rnacentral:rRNA from 1 species
UCCAACGCGGGGCAGGGUGAGUCGUUCAUACGUAGGGUGCAAGCAGUGUCGGGAUGUAUUUGGCGUAAAGCGCGGUUAGGCGGCCAAGAAGGGCCGCUGUGAAAACUCGAGGCUCAACCUCGGGAGGUCGGUGGAAACCGUUUGGCUAGAGUGCGGAAGAGGGGAGUGGAAUUCCCGGUGUAGCGGUGAAAUGCGCAGAUAUCGGGAAGAACACCCGUGGCGAAGGCGGCUCUCUGGGACGGUACUGACGCUGAGACGCGAAAGCGUGGGGAGCGAACAGGAUUAGAUAUCCGGGUAGUC